rnacentral:rRNA from 1 species
GCCAUCACUAACAUCUACGCCCCCUCCUCUCGCGCCCUCAAGCAACAAUUCCUUGAUGAGCUCCUCGCUAUCGCCCAACCCGAUGACUCACCUUGGUUACUAGCCGGUGAUUUCAACCUCCUACGUUUUCCUACAGAUAAAAACAAUGAUGCUUUCCGUCGCUCAGAGGCCAACGCUUUCAACCAAACAAUCGAUACUCUUGCACUCAUCGAGCUACCUCUUCUAGACCGCCAAUUCACUUGGUCCAACAACAGAACCACACCCACCCUAGAACGCAUUGAUCGCGCUUUUUUUAACUUGGCUUGGGCGGAUGCUUUCCCCAACUCCUCACUCACAUCCCUCACUCGAUUCACGUCUGACCAUGUCCCCCUCAUCAUC